rnacentral:rRNA from 1 species
GGUCUUGUAAUGGAAUGAUGGGAAUCUAAACCCUUCCCAGAGUAUCAAUUGGAGGGCAAGUCUGGUGCCAGCAGCCGCGGUAAUUCCAGCUCCAAUAGCGUAUAUUAAAGUUGUUGCAGUUAAGAAGCUCGUAGUUGAAUUUCUGCCUUGUCAUUAAUCUCGCUUCCGAGCGUUUUUUUAUUGACUUGGCAUCUUCUGGAUUUGGUGCCUUCGGGUACUAUUUUCCAGGAUUUACUUUGAGAAAACUAGAGUGUUUCAAACAGGCAUUCGCCUUGAAUACUACAGCAUGGAAUAAUGAAGUAG